AUUUUGAGUAGGAUCUAUGCAGCUAUUUCAUGCUUCGGCCUUUCAGUUCUACACAAAAGGUCCAUGGAAGGGCUGUAGAAAUCUUCCAUUACUGCAAAGCACAGCAGGCCCAAGAUACAACAAUCCAGUUUGUUCAGUGACCAAACACACCCCGUUCCUGGAGGAUCAACUCGAGCUACUGCACAGCCAGAACCAAUCCGUGAAGCUGACAUCCGAGCACCCUCUGAAGGCUGCAGUACCUGGGGUGCCUGAAAUGCCAUUAUCUCUCCCUCUGAGAACAGAUGCAUUUAUCCUGCAGGAAGAUUCUUUUUCAAACCAAGAGAAGAUAAAGAUGUCUUAGCCUGGGAACCCAAGAUGCAAUCACAUUUUCAAAUCCAACUUUAAAUGCACCAUCAGGUCUACAAUCGAGGAGGUGUGAAUACGUGUGCUAUUGAUUAAUUUCAGCUUUGCUUGAUAUCACUCCAAGUUUCCAAUAACUGACUAUAGUUGCCAUUCCUGGACAGGGCAGGUAAUGAGAAGUGUGCACUUCGCUUUUUUUUUUCUUUUGUCUCCAGAGCUAAAUAUACACAUUCACCA
rnacentral:lncRNA from 1 species